ACUAAACAGACAUUUUUCCCAGGAAGACAUACAGGUAGCCAACAAGUACAUGAAGAGGUACUCAGUGUCACUAAUUGUCAAGGAAAUGAAAAUCAAAGACAAAAUAAGAUAUCGCCUCACACCUGUUAGAAUGACCACGAGUAAAAAGAUUAGAGAUAACAAAUGUUGGUGAGGAUGUGGAGAAAAUGGAAGCCUCGUGCACCACUGGUGGGAAUGUAGAUUGGUGCAUCCACUACGGAAAGAGCAUGGACGUUCCCAAAAAGUUAAAAAGAAAACUACCAGAUGAUUCAGAAAUUCCAAUCUAUGUAUUUAUCCAAAGAAAACAGUAACAUUAACUUGAAAAGGUAUAUGCACCCCCAUGUUCAUUGCUGUAUCAUUUACAAUAGACAAGAUACAGAAACAACCAAAGUGCCCAUUAACAGAUGAAUGGAUAAAGAAAAUGUGGUAUGUAUAUAUAUCAUAGAAUAUUACUUAGCCGUGAGAAAGAAGAAAAUCUUGCCAUUUGCAACAACAUAAAUGGACCAGAUUAAGCUAAGCGAAGUAAGUCAGACAGAGAAGGACAAGUGCUGAAUGACUUCACUUGUAUGUGGAAUAUAAAAAAAGCCCCAAAACCUGAACUCAUAGACACAAAGUACAGAUGGGUGGUUGUCAGAGUCAGGGGAUGGGGGUGGAUGAAAUGGGUUAAGGGAGUCAAAAGGUACAAACUCCUAGUGAUAAAAUAAAUAAGUCUUGGGGAUAUAAUGUCAUAACACUAUAUGGUAUAUUUGAAAGUUGCUAAGAGGGUAAGUCCUAAAAGUUCUCAUCAGAAGAAAAAGAAAAUUUGUAACUGUGUAUGGUGGUAGAUAUUAAUUAGACUUAUUGUGGUGAUCAUUUUGCAAUAUACACAAACAUCAAAUCAUUACGUUUUACACCUAGAACUAAUAUAAUGUUAUAUGUCAAUUAUAUCUUAAUUUUAAAAACCCACAAGUUCAAAGAUAAAAUUAUUAAGAAUUUCAAGAUGGCAACAGCAGAGCAUAAAAUCAGUGUGAGGCCCUUCUGAGUGCAGGGUCCUGUGCAACUGCACAGGUGACACCCUCUGAAGCCAUCCCUGUUUCUUUCUCUUUAUCACCUCUUGGAGCUGCCCCUCCUCUUCAGCCACAUGGCCUCUGUCCAUGUCACUGCAGUUUCUCCCCUGGACUGUUACAGCAGUUUCCCUAAUUCCUGUUUCCUUUACUACCUUUCCUCCUCCUUAUCCUGAGAGAGACCUUCAUGAAGCACACAUUUAAUAUGGGCCUCUCAUCCCGUCUCCAUUUAAAUGUCCAUGAGAAUAAAGUAUAAAAUGCUAAGCAUGGCGUCCAAGGCCCUCUGCGACCUGCUCCUGUCUGUCUCUACAGUCUCAUCCUCUCCACACCCUCAACUCCUGACAUGCAGUCUUUAUACAAGGAAAUGCCUGACUAAUGGGGAGUGUUGCCAGAUUAAGCAAAUAAAAAUACAGGAUGCCCAUUUGAAUUUGUCCCAUGCCAUGUUUGGCAAAUAAUUAUACAAAGAAAUUAUUUGUUGUUUAUCUGAAUUUCAAAUUUUAACUGGUGUUGUCUUUAUUAGCCACUCUCUCUUUCCUUUCUUCCAAGUCAUACCUCACAGACCACCCCUCCAAGAAGUUUCCCCGCCCUCUCUCACCUCUCCCCUUAUCACAGCACCAACACAUGGCUCUUUGUUAGUAUAGUCAGUGGUGUUUGGUGCGCAGCAGACUCUGGGACCCAAUAGCUUCAUUUCAAAGUCUAGAAAGAGUCACUCUUCUCUAAUUGUGAAAAGUCCUUUAAUCUCUUUCUGCCUCACUUCCUGCAUCUGUCAAAUGAGGAUGGUGGUCACGUGGGUAACAAUGCCUGGCUCAGAGGAGUGCUGUGAGGACUCCGGAAUUCACCCAGGUAUAAACCACUUAGAGUGAUUUCCGGCACAUAGUAAAUGUAAUUAUUUUUUGUUUGAAUGAGUUGGCUGUGAAUUCCUGGCCAGCAGGAAUUGUGUUCUAUUUAUUGCUACCCUGGCUCCUCAUGCGAUCCCUGCCGCACAAAUGAGGUGUGCUUAUCGAAUGAACUUGUCUGCUUUAAACUCCAACCUAGAACCCUGAGAAAGAAGAUUAUAAAACCUUUCCUGGCAUGUGGCCUUAUCCGGGGUCAAGAAGACUCCUGUUGACAGGGCUCCAUCUUUCCCAUCCCUGCUGGAUGUCCUUCCUGGGGUAGCUGUCCACCCUGCCUUCUGCUACUUCCACACAUCUGCCUAUUUCUAGGUCUCAUCACCUCCCUGGCUCUGCCCUUCUCCCAUCUCAGCGGCAGUGUUUGCUGAGUCUGCAGCUGACCGGUCUCUGUAGGCAGAGGCUACUGUGUACCCCUCUGCCUGGACUUGCCUGGUCCAGCCUCUGAGCCAGGCUCUUCUGCUCCUGUGACCCAACUCUGACAAAUUCCAGAGAAUGAACAUUUCAUAUCUGUCUACCCGAGGAGCGAGAAAACAGGGGAAGUAGAAGGACAAGGAACAUUCAGUGUGAGGUAAGUAUGGGGGAAGGCUGAGAAGAAACAAGAAAACUGUAUUCUCCCUAUCAUAUUACUCUCUUUGGGCAAAUAAACUCUAGGGGUGUGGGGGCAGGACAAAGACCUCUUGUGUUUUGGAAAAGGACCUUUGCCCUGUUGUGUGUUCUUAGCUGGCUGGCACUUUCUCUCCUGCUCUCAUUGGCUGGCUGUGGUCAUCAGGUAGCUGUGCCAGUCUGAGCUGAGGUUCUGCUUCCCCAGGGUCAGUGUGAGUGGUCACAACAGGCCACAAUAAUGAUGGUAGGGCCUGUUGUACAACAGAAGCUAUACAGAGGUCAGGCUUUGUGGUCAGACAAAGCAGGCUUCAACCCUGGCAUUGCUGCUCACUAACCAAGUACUUUGAUCCAGUCUUUUAACUUCUUUCAGCCUCAGUUUCCUGUACAAAUUGGGAUCAUAAUACCUGCCAGGCAGGUUUGAUCCAGUGAGAAGGAUAAACAAAACUCAUCCCCUGGGGGUUGCUUCACUCAUGGGGAUGCACACAGCUGCUAGAGCAGGGGGACCACUCAAUAACUACUGGAUGCUAUUAUUGGAGUCUUAGGGAGAGGGAACAGCAAGGAUUCUGAACUGUGAUCUUUUCCCAAGAAGGAGCAAAGUUUGGAAGAGGAGAGGAGAGAUUCUUCCCUUCCUCUUCUGUGAUCUUCCUCACUUCAGAGAACUCUCUAGUUUUCAUAUGAGAAGACAAUGGGAGGAUCCAGAUUUCUCUAUAGAGGGGCACUUGUGUGUGCGUCUUGUGGUCCUAAAGCUGCAUAUACACAGAACUUCUCAUGCAAUUGAAGAAAAUGUCAACUGAAUAAAGAAUGGGCGAUGAUGAAGAUUUGGGAGGCAUGGAUGUCCCCCACAGUCUCCAACUUUGUUAAACUUCUUUUCACAUUGCAAUGAUUGGGAAGGCAAUGUUGGGUGUGAAGAACACUGGCAGUGAGUUGGAAUAAUAGUCAUAAGGUUAGUCAGAGAGCUCCAGAGCUGCCACUAUCUUAAGGAAGGUUAAGGAAAAGAGUCAUUAAGCCAACCCUCAAUCUUGGUGUUUGCUUGUUCAUGUAAGUUGAGGGAGCAGGGAUUGGAUGGAAGACCAACAAGGAUCCUAGAGUCUUAGUAUUCACAGAUCCAUAGUAGGAGCUGGGCUGAAAGAGAAUAUCCUAGAGACAUGCGCUGUUCUAGGAAGAACAGUCUGCAGCAAGUCUGGGAAUGUUCAUCCCAUUGUUGUUGUGGCAGCUAUUCUAGCUGCAGAAAAAAAUUUUGAGAAUGGUUGUUCUUACUUGAAAUCUUUAGUAGCAAGCAAGAGGUAGGAGGAGGGGACGGAAGAGAAGAGAAAGAGUUUUGACUUAAUGCAGUUUAGGAGACUAACGAUGGAGCUUAAGGAAUGCUGCCCACAGCAAGAAGUCUCACCCAGAAGUGAGACUGCAGCCCUGCCUUCCACCAUCUCUACCACCUCCUCCUCCUCUUCUUCAGACUCUGCUUCUCCAGUCCAUUUUGGCUAAUUCCUUUCCUGUGCUCAGGUGUCCCCUGUCCUGUCAUAGACCCCUGCUCUUGGACCAUGCAGGAGAUGCCUUCAUCUUGUAUGCAUGGAAUGGUCCUUUGGAGAGGCAGCCUCUCUGUCUGAAUGCAAAUGUAAAACUGCCAGGUCAAGUCUCCCAUUCCUGGGACAAGCGACUCUUUCCCCUUAGAGAACCUCCAGAUCUGAGUCUCAGAGUUAAACAGGAGCAGCUUGGGACCAGGGAAAGAUAACUAGGCCAUAAAUCAGAAAAUCAACUAGCUCUGACCUUGGGCAACUCCAUUAAAGCAUGUUAGUCUUGAUUGCCUUCUGCAAAAGUGUAACCAUGGGCCCUCUAGGACCAGUCCAAAAUGAGCCCAUCUUGUCAACAGAGCAACUAAGAGUUGUUUUUCAGGAACUGAGACCCCUUGUCCAGUUCAGGCCAGUUGAGACCACCAACCCAUCAACUAGGCCUGUGCAAAAGCCUGAUAACUGACCCUUUUGAAGUCACGGGGCUGAAAACUCCAUCCUCAGAUCGUAGUAAGACCAUCAUUUACGAACACGCAUCCUAUGAAGAGCCAUGAAGCUUGACUAUGCCUGUGCAGGUCAUCAAUUACCUCACUUCUCCUUAACUCCAAUCAUCUAUCUCCACACUUCAUCCCAUAAAGUUUGCCUCAAGCCCUGGAUCAGGGAUACAGAUUGGAGAUUAUAUGCCUCCUGUCUACUCGCAGAUCAAAUUUGCAAUAAAGUUGUUUGCUUUUCCCAAAAGCUGAUACUGUAAUUAUUGGCUAUUUUAUGUGCAUUGGAUAGGAGAACCCCUUCUUGAUGUGGUUACAAAAGGAUAGGGAGAAAGGAGAAAGAUAGCCUAUUGAUAGACUAGACCAGUGAUAUUGUGAAUUCUGAGGAAGCCUAUGUUCUAUAAUGGCUGAGUUGAUAGGGUUAGUGGCAUUCCAGGUCCCUUUCUUGCCUUAUAAAGUGGUUUGAACAUUCAUAGGAAGGAGAGAUUUUUCCUGGCUAUAAAGAUCAAGGAAAGCUUUCAUGGAUGAGGAGACAUUUGAAGACAUGAACAAAUGAGUGAGAUAAAGUACCAAAUCAGUCACAGUCCUGGCAGGAAAUCAGGCAAAGUCCAGAAGGCAACUGAAGAGAAUUUAAUGGAGGGACCAUUUGCAAAGGUCAGUGGAAGGUUUAAGGGAUAUCAGCAAGGAAUGGUGACACACCCUAGGGCUACAGCAGGAACCACCACCAGUGGGUCUGAUGAAGCUAGGGGAGAGUAUUUCCACAGAAGAUGAGACUUAAAGCCACACUAGAGCAUCCUGACAGAGCUGUGACCUCUAGAGUAGGAAGACGGCCACCAUCACCUGCUGCCCAGUAUGGAGGGAGCUAGGAGAAUAGAUACCCUGGAGUCUCUGCCCUUCCACCCUUUGAUCUUCUCCUGUUGUCUUCUGUUGGCAGACCUCCACCAGAACCCAGACUGCAGAGGCUGCUGCUACAGUCCUCAGAGCUUGUUCGCAUUCCUGGGAACCCCAGUGCAUCAUCCACUCUCCCCAAGCACAGAUAGGGGAUUGUCAACAGGCCGGCUGAGCUGAAAAGCCUCAUGCCCACUGGUGUGAGUGCCAGAUGGGCAGUGCUGUGGAGAGACUGACCAGCCCAGGUGCUGGGAAUCCAGCAGAAGACAAAGCAGACAAGAAUUUCUGCCCCUGUGGACUUUACAUGCAAGAACAAGGAGACACAUAAUAAACAAAGAGAAAUAUAAAUUGGUUAUAAGUGCUAUGGACAAAAUGAAGCAGGUCUCAGAUUGUGUCUGCUCCCCAGACUUCUGACGGAGAACAUGACCCAUCCUGAGGAGGAGAGAGGGAGCCUCUAGAGUGGGCCAGCUGGCAAGACAGACUCUUAUACAACAAUGUCAUCAUGGAAGUGACUGCCCACCAUCUUUCCCAGAUUUUACUGAGUAGAAGCAAGUCACAGGUUCUGCCAACAGUCAAAGGGAUGAGAUUACCCAAGGAUGUGAACUACAAGGGCCUUGCUUGAAGUGCUCAUCAUUUCUUGCCUGGAGUGUCACAGCAGCUUCUGCUUCAUCUCCCUGCCUCCUCCCAUCUGGCUCUCCAAUAAGGACCUGCUACGUUGUGCAAUCCCAGGAGGCGUCAUAACAGAGAAUACAAUGUAAAUGAUGCUGCUGCCUCCCAUCUCCCCCUACACCUGCCCUACUGUGAUUUUCAAUGUACGCAUUUUCUCACGUCAAAAUUUCAGAGGUUCUUCUUCACUUUGGGGCUAUGACCCCAAUCCCACACCAGACACCUGAUGAUGCUGUGUCCUGGGGAGGUAGGUUUGAGAGUCAACAAUGCAGGGGUCGUGAAUGAACCUUUCAAAAUGGAGGACAGUGACAUUCAUAGAGGGUUAAUAUGCAGGGGUGUUGUUCUAAGUCUUCCCCAGAUGACUUAAGAAGCAAAUGUUGGUUUUAUCCCCACCCUAAAGAUGAGGAAAUACGGACACUGAGUAGUUACUUAAUUGACUUUGAGUUUCACGCCUAAUGAGUCAUGGAUAACAACAUAUGGAGAUAGAGACAAAAACUGUGGUCUAGUAGACCAUAAGCCAUAGUGCCUGCAACACACAAGCAACUCCCCAGGUAAAGCUAUAAAACAAAUUUGUGUUCCUGGGAGUUUCUAAUGGCAGUGAGCAGUGACAUAGUAACCAUGAGAAAUAGAUUCUUCCUGCUAAGGCUAACUAAGUCAAAGAGACAGAUUUCCAGGCACUUGGCCACACUUACUUCCUGCAGGACACUGCACUAGGUCUUGGAAAAGAUGAAGAAGAUGCGAUCAAGUGCCUGACCAGGGGAGUGAAUGGACCAAGGUCACUGUGAAGAGAAGGGUGAAUCCACCAUAGUUCUUUCCUCCAUCCAGGAUUGUGUCUCAUGCAAUGGCAGACUUGACAUGACUUUGCACAUGCUGGUGCCUUUCAGAUACUGAGGCGCCAGGCCAUAUAAUGUAAGGAAGAAGAGAUGAGUAAGGAGCUGCCGGUGGAGUCAAAGUCUGUGCUCAGGGACCAAGAAGGGGGAAUAGAAGAGUCUAUGUCCUCUGGCCUCCCUCUGCCUGGACACAUCUUUGUGAGGAACACGAUGAAAGGCAGCCAGACAAGUGCUGGAGACGAGUGAAGAGGGCACCAAGGAGGGGAAGGGAAGGCAGACAGGGCACAGCAAAGGCCAAGAAUUG